rnacentral:rRNA from 1 species
CCUACGGGAGGCAGCAGUAGGGAAUCUUCCACAAUGGGCGAAAGCCUGAUGGAGCAACGCCGCGUGGGUGAAGAAGGUCUUCGGAUCGUAAAACCCUGUUGUUAGAGAAGAAAGUGCGUGAGAGUAACUGUUCACGUUUCGACGGUAUCUAACCAGAAAGCCACGGCUAACUACGUGCCAGCAGCCGCGGUAAUACGUAGGUGGCAAGCGUUAUCCGGAUUGAUUGGGCGUAAAGGGAACGCAGGCGGUCUUUUAAGUCUGCUGUGAAAGCCUUCGGCUUAACCGGAGUAGUGCAUUGGAAACUGGGAGAUUUGAGUGCAGAAGAGGAGAGUGGAACUCCAUGUGUAGCGGUGAAAUGCGUAGAUCUAGGGAAGAACAACAGUGGCGAAAGCGGAUCUCUGGUCUGUAACUGACGCUGAGGUUCGAAAGCGUGGGUAGCAAACAGGAUUAGAUACCCCUGUAGUC